rnacentral:rRNA from 1 species
GGACUACCAGGGUUUCUAAUCCUGUUUGCUCCCCACGCUUUCGCGCCUCAGCGUCAAUACCAGUCCAGUUGGCCGCCUUCGCCACCGGUGUUCUUCCCAAUCUCUACGAAUUUCACCUCUACACUGGGAAUUCCACCAACCUCUCCUGGAUUCGAGCGAUUCAGUAUCAAGCGCAAUUCCCGGGUUGAGCCCAGGGCUUUCACGCCUGACUUAGAUCACCGCCUACGCGCCCUUUACGCCCAGUAAUUCCGAACAACGCUUGCCCCCUUCGUAUUACCGCGGCUGCUGGCAC